GAUGAACGCUGGCGGCGUGCCUAAUACAUGCAAGUCGAGCGAACGGACGAGAAGCUUGCUUUUCUGAUGUUAGCGGCGGACGGGUGAGUAACACGUGGAUAACCUACCUAUAAGACUGGGAUAACUUCGGGAAACCGGAGCUAAUACCGGAUAAUAUUUUGAACCGCAUGGUUCAAAAGUGAAAGACGGUCUUGCUGUCACUUAUAGCUGGAUCCGCGCUGCAUUAGCUAGUUGGUAAGGUAACGGCUUACCAAGGCAACGAUGCAUAGCCGACCUGAGAGGGUGAUCGGCCACACGGGAACUGAGACACGGUCCAGACUCCUACGGGAGGCAGCAGUAGGGAAUCUUCCGCAAUGGGCGAAAGCCUGACGGAGCAACGCCGCGUGAGUGAUGAAGGUCUUCGGAUCGUAAAACUCUGUUAUUAGGGAAGAACAUAUGUGUAAGUAACUGUGAACAUCUUGACGGUACCUAAUCAGAAAGCCACGGCUAACUACGUG
rnacentral:rRNA from 1 species